GAUGAACGCUGGCGGCGUGCCUAACACAUGCAAGUCGAACGGAGCUGUCGGAGCUUGCUUUGACAGCUUAGUGGCGAACGGGUGAGUAACGCGUGAGCAACCUGCCCUUGAGAGGGGGAUAACAUCGGGAAACCGAUGCUAAUACCGCAUAAAAUAUGCAGAUGGCAUCAUUGGCAUAUCAAAAGGAGAAAUCCGCUCAAGGAUGGGCUCGCGUCUGAUUAGAUAGUUGGUGAGGUAACGGCCCACCAAGUCGACGAUCAGUAGCCGGACUGAGAGGUUGACCGGCCACAUUGGGACUGAGACACGGCCCAGACUCCUACGGGAGGCAGCAGUGGGGAAUAUUGCACAAUGGGCGAAAGCCUGAUGCAGCGACGCCGCGUGAGGGAUGACGGCCUUCGGGUUCGGUAAACCUCGUUUCAGUCAAGGGAGAAGCGAAAGUGACGGUACCUAGCAGAAGAAGACGACCGGACUAACUACGUAGCCAGACCG
rnacentral:rRNA from 1 species